GUGGGGAAUAUUGCGCAAUGGGGGCAACCCUGACGCAGCAAUACCGCGUGAGUGAAGAAGGUUUUCGGAUCGUAAAACUCUUUUAUUGGGGAAGAAGAAGUGACGGUACCCAAUGAAGAAGUCCCGGCUAACUACGUGCCAGCAGCCGCGGUAAUACGUAGGGGACAAGCGUUGUCCGGAAUCACUGGGCGUAAAGGGCGCGUAGGCGGUUUUAUAAGUCAGAUGUGAAAGGUACCGGCUCAACCGGUGACGUGCAUUUGAAACUGUAAGACUUGAGUACUGGAGAGGCAAGUGGAAUUCCUAGUGUAGCGGUGAAAUGCGUAGAUAUUAGGAGGAACACCGGUGGCGAAGGCGGCUUGCUGGACAGAUACUGACGCUGAGGUGCGAAAGCGUGGGGAGCGAACAGGAUUAGAAACCCCGGUAGUCC
rnacentral:rRNA from 1 species